rnacentral:rRNA from 1 species
AUUGAACGCUAGCGGCAUGCCUUACACAUGCAAGUCGAACGGAGUGGCGAACGGGUGAGUAAUGUAGCGGAACGUGCCCAGUAGCGGGGGAUACCUACGCGAAAGCGUAGCUAAUACCGCAUACUAUUGGAGCGGCCGCUAGCGGAGUUGCUGGUUGGUGGGGUAACGGCUCACCAAGGCGACGAGCCGUAGCCGGGUUGAGAGGACGACCAGCCACACGGGGACUGAGACACGGCCCAGACUCCUACGGGAGGCAGCAGUGGGGAAUUUUGGACAAUGGGGGAAACCCUGAUCCAGCCAUCCCGCGUGUGCGAUGAAGGCCUUCGGGUUGUAAAGCACUUUUGGCAGGAAAGCGGUACCUGCAGAAUAAGCAACGGCUAACUACGUGCCAGCAGCCGCGGUAAUUC